rnacentral:rRNA from 1 species
AUUGAACGCUGGCGGCAUGCCUUACACAUGCAAGUCGAACGGUAACGCGGGGCAACCUGGCGACGAGUGGCGAACGGGUGAGUAAUGUAUCGGAACGCGCCCAGUUGUGGGGGAUAACUGCUCGAAAGAGCAGCUAAUACCGCAUACGACCUGAGGGUGAAAGCGGGGGAUCGCAAGACCUCGCGCAAUUGGAGCGGCCGAUAUCAGAUUAGGUAGUUGGGGGGGUAAAGGCCCACCAAGCCAACGAUCUGUAGCUGGUCUGAGAGGACGACCAGCAACACUGGGACUGAGACACGGCCCAGACUCCUACGGGAGGCAGCAGUGGGGAAGUUUGGACAAUGGACGCAAGUCUGUUUCAGCCAUGCCGCGUGCGGGAAGAAGGCCUUCGGGUUGUAAACCGCUUUUGUCAGGGAAGAAACGCUCUGGGUUAAUACCUCGGGGUAAUGACGGUACCUGAAGAAUAAGCACCGGCUAACUACGUGCCAGCAGCCGCCGUAAAAC